rnacentral:lncRNA from 1 species
GUGCUGAUGAAGGGUUGAGCUAUGAUGAGGAUGAUGAGUUGAUGAGGACGAUGAGUUGAUGAGGAUGAUGUGUUAAUGUCAAGGAUGAUGAGGUCAAUGAAGGUGCUGAUGAAGGGUUGAGCUAUGAUGAGGAUGAUGUGUUGAUGAGGAUGAUGAGUUGAUGAGGACGAUGUGUUGAUGAGGAUGAUGAGGACGAUGUGUUGAUGAGUUGAUGAGGAUGAUGUGUUGAUGAGGAUGAUGUGUUGAUGAGAAUGAUGAGGAUGAUGUGAUGAUGAGGAUGAUGUGUUGAUGAGGUUGAUGUGUUGAUGUGGAUGAUGUGUUGAUGAGGGUGAUGUGUUGAUGAGGAUGAUGUGUUGAUGAGGACGAUGUGUUGAUGAGGACGACGUGUUGAUGAGGACGAUGUGUUGAUGGGGAUGAUGUGUUGAUGAGGUUGAUGUGUUGAUGAGGACGAUGUGUUGAUGAGGAUGAUGUGUUGAUGAGGAUGAUGUGUUGAUGGAUGAUGCGGCUAAACAGUUUGACACAAUCAGUUCUGAGGUAGAGCCUCUACUGAUUGAAGAUAGGUUUCUCACAGCCUUUUACAGGACUCUAAAAGUCAGAGAGGUCCAAUUACUAGAUAGGUUUCUCACAGCCUUUUACAGGACUCUAAAAGUCAGAGAGGUCCAG